GACGAACGCUGGCGGCGUGCUUAACACAUGCAAGUCGAACGGAAAGGCCCUGCUUUUGUGGGUUGCUCGAGUGGCGAACGGGUGAGUAACACGGGAGUAACCUGCCCUUUACUUUGGGAUAACUUCAGGAAACUGGGGCUAAUACCGGAUAGGAGCUCCUGCUGCAUGGUGGGGGUUGGAAAGUUUCGGCGGUUGGGGAUGGACUCGCGGCUUAUCAGCUUGUUGGUGGGGUAGUGGCUUACCAAGGCUUUGACGGGUAGCCGGCGUGAGAGGGUGACGGGCCACAUUGGGACUGAGAUACGGCCCAGACUCCUACGGGAGGCAGCAGUGGGGAAUAUUGCACAAUGGGCGGAAGCCUGAUGCAGCAACGCCGCGUGCGGGAUGACGGCCUUCGGGUUGUAAACCGCUUUCGCCUGUGACGAAGCGUGAGUGGCGGUAAUGGGUAAAGAAGCACCGGCUAACUACGUG
rnacentral:rRNA from 1 species